rnacentral:misc_RNA from 1 species
AAAGUCGUAACAAGGUCUCCGUAGGUGAACCUGCGGAGGGAUCAUUACACAAUAAGAAGGCGGGCUGGCUCUCUCCGGAGGACUGGCCCUGCUGAAUUAUUCACCCGUGUCUUUUGCGUACUUCUUGUUUCCUGGGCGGGUUCGCCCGCCACCAGGACAAACCAUAAACCUUUUGUAAUGGCAAUCAGCGUCAGUAACAACAUAAUAAUUACAACUUUCAACAACGGAUCUCUUGGUUCUG